UCUUCUUAAAGCCAGUUAAGAGAGGAAGAACAGCUUAGACACUCAGACAGCUGAACACACCAAAGGUGGACAUCAUGCAGCCACCCUGAGCCUUGACCCUCUCUGUGUGAGGAAGCUUUGCUGCUGCAGACCUGGUGAAGUUGCUCUGCUGCAGUGCUGAAGGUAUUCAUUGUAAUGAUGUGUGUAUUUAUUCAACAUGUUUAGUUUCACAGAUUAUCAACACAAAUGUUUCUGUUUAUUUCCUGUUUUGAACCAGCUACAUUCUCCUACUUCAAGUCACUGUCUGUUCAUCCACGGUGUAGCAAGUGCAGCUAACUAAUGGUGAUCCUACAAUCAAUUGUAUUGAUUACAGAGUUAAAGUGAAGGGGAUUUUGUUUGUUUUUUUCAGACCUCUCCUCCUCCUGCCCCUGACUCCAGUGAUGCUGUCAACUCGAACACUGAUAACUGCACACAGUGAUUCUACAACCACAGGUCAAAGGUCAAAACAUUACCUCACUCAAAACCUUUACUCUGAACUGUACCGGGCUCGGCUUUUGGUUUUGAAAAAAUGUGCCCAGACAGAACACAGUACUCACUUGAGGAACUGACUGAUUGUCUUCA